UGGGGAAUAUUGGACAAUGGGGGGAACCCUGAUCCAGCCAUGCCGCGUGUGUGAAGAAGGCCUUAUGGUUGUAAAGCACUUUAAGCGAGGAGGAGGGUACUGGUAUUAAUACUACCAGGUACUGGACGUUACUCGCAGAAUAAGCACCGGCUAACUCUGUGCCAGCAGCCGCGGUAAUACAGAGGGUGCGAGCGUUAAUCGGAUUUACUGGGCGUAAAGCGUGCGUAGGCGGCUAAUUGAGUCGGGUGUGAAAUCCCCGAGCUUAACUUGGGAAUUGCAUUCGAUACUGGUUAGCUAGAGUGUGGGAGAGGAUGGUAGAAUUCCAGGUGUAGCGGUGAAAUGCGUAGAGAUCUGGAGGAAUACCGAUGGCGAAGGCAGCCAUCUGGCCUAACACUGACGCUGAGGUACGAAAGCACGGGGAGCAAACAGG
rnacentral:rRNA from 1 species